rnacentral:rRNA from 1 species
CCUACGGGAGGCAGCAGUGGGGAAUAUUGGGCAAUGGGCGCAAGCCUGACCCAGCAACGCCGCGUGAAGGAAGAAGGCUCUCGGGUUGUAAACUUCUUUUAUCAGGGACGAAGCAAGUGACGGUACCUGAUGAAUAAGCCACGGCUAACUACGUGCCAGCAGCCGCGGUACUACGUAGGUGGCAAGCGUUAUCCGGAUUUACUGGGUGGAAAGGGCGUGUAGGCGGGAAAGAAAGUCAGAUGUGAAAACCAUGGGCUCAACCUGUGGACUGCAUUUGAAACUGGUUUUCUUGAGUACUGGAGAGGCAGAGGGAAUUGCGAGUGUAGCGGUGAAAUGCGUAGAUAUUAGGAGGAAAACCAGUGGCGAAGGCGGUCUGCUGGACAGCAACUGACGCUGAGGAGCGAAAGCGUGGGGAGCAAACAGGAUUAGAUACCCGAGUAGUC